UAGCCGUAAGCGAUACUCGCUAGGUGUCGGCCACGGUGCGACCGUUGUCGGUGCCGUAGGGAAGCCGUGAAGCGAGCCACCUGGGAAGUACGGCCGCAAGGCUGAAACUUAAAGGAAUUGGCGGGGGAGCACAACAACGGGUGGAGCUUGCGGUUUAAUUGGAUUCAACGCCGGAAAUCUUACCGGGACCGACAGCAACAUGAAGGCCAAGCUGAAGACUUUGCCGGAUUAGCUGAGAGGAGGUGCAUGGCGUAGUCGUGU
rnacentral:rRNA from 1 species